UCCCCGGGAGCGCGAGGGGCGCGCGCCCGCUCACGUGGGUGCAGAGCAUUUAGUGCUGGGAUGGCAUGGAUUUGUGUCAGUUUCUCUGCUCCGUGAUCUCACCAGUGGCUCCUGCCCCGACUUCUAACCACUGCACAACACAGCGGGAGCGCUCUGGCUGGGUGUCCUUGGGUAACUCACCUCUCCAUGCCUCAGUUUCCUCAUCUGAAGUACGGGGAUAGUAGUUGCGAUUGACAAGAGGAAAUGGGAAAAGCAUGGAAAGCACUUGGCACAGGGCCUGACGCGUAACGAAGAUAACAGCCUUUAUCAUUAUUUGUCUGUAAGCUCCUCUCUACUUUUUCUCAUGACCACCACACUAGCAAGCUCUGUAGGUGCUCAAUAAAUAUAUCCCUUUAGUGAACAAGUGCGUGUGGCCCCCUCCCCUCUCAAAUGUGGGGAGGACUCCCCAGCACUGGACUUGAUGUCAUACAGCUCUGAAUUCAGAUCUGCCUUUCCCUCUUGAUGGCUGUGUGAUUUUUUUUGCCUCUCUGAACCUCAGUUUCUUCAUCUGUAAAAUGGAAGUAAAGAGUCUCUUAUGAGCAUCACAGAAGAUAGAAGAUGAGCAGAUGGAUUGUAAACUGCUUAUAGGUGUCCUGGUCUCAUCUUAGAAAAGAAGUCGGGAGCCCUUUCAUUCACAGGUAUUUAUUGAGCACACACUAUGUGCUCGGACUAGUGCAGUACCCACUUACAGCCUUUUCACAUCCUCCCUGCACCCUCUCCGAUCUAUUCUCCACUCUGCUGUCAGAGUAACAUUUCUAAGUCAGAAAUCUGAUUAUGUUAGUCCCCUAUUUGAAACUAUUUGACAGCUUCAUGUUGCUCUUAAGAUAAAGACCAAAUCAAUGUCUUACUGUUGUCUUCCCCACCUCUCCAGGUGCAUCUCAGGCCCUCUUCCAUCUCUGGGCUGCAACCACAAUGGUCUUCUUCCCAAUUCUUUACACAUUGUAAUCCCUCCCUCCUCAGCACCCUUGCACAUGCUCAUUCUCUGCCUGAAAUGCUCUGCCCCCCUUAGCCUUCAGAUCCAAACUCAAAUGUCACUACCCCAAGAACACCUUCCCUGGCCAUCCCCCCCAGACAGGCCCCCUUAGCAGCAUGCACUUAUCCUUGAUAGAACAGACUAGGUGGUUUAUUGCCACUAGAAUGUGGACUCCCUUGUUCACCGCUGUUCCCUCAGCAUGUAACACAGUGCCUGGCACAGAGUAGGCGCUCAAUCAAUAUUUGCUGUAUGUAUGGAUCCUGUGCACUAUACUAGGUGCUGAGUCCAAAAGGACAGAGAAAAGCAAAGAGAACAACAGUGCAGCUAUAAAAUUAACACCAAAGGACUUUGCAAGAGGCUGGACAUUAUUUUUUUGAAACUUUUGAAAAAUUGAGGUAUAAUUUAUAUGCAGCAAAAUGCAAAAAUCUUAACUUUAUACCUAAUAAAUUUUUAGCUAUGUUCCUGUGUUAACACCUCUCAGAUCAAGUUAUAGAACAUCUCUAACAGCCCAAAGGGUUCCCUUCUGUCACUUCCAGAACGUCCCCUCCCAGUCAAUACCUGAUUCCCCAAAGGUAACCACUACUCUGACUUCUAGCACCGUAAAUUAACUUUGACAGUUCUUGAACUUCACAUAAACAGAACUGUAUAGUACGUACUGUUUUGUGUUAGCCUGGAAAUCUGACAGAGCUAAAGAGUGACUAUUUGGAUAAUGAUACAAUUAAUGUGUUGCUUGACUGAUUAGUUAAUCUGAAAGACUGAACGAGAAACUCUGGUCACUUGAUCCUAUUUAGACAGGGGUCCUGCCAGCAGCCAGCCCAGAGGCUGAAAUGACAUCAUCCACAGACCUCUGAGCCCCACAAAAGCUUUUGAAGGUAAGAAAGCUCUGAAAAAUUCCACAACCUGAGCCACGGUCCUUACUUUUCACUUUCUUAUCCAUUUCCUUAAGCCAAGGGUCAUUGGUUUUCCCGGGAUCAGCAAGGAAACAAGGAGUUGAGGACAGAGGUGCCAACUUGGUUGCCUACACAUCCUGGAAGUGAAAAUAGCAGCAUAAACAGGGUCCACAGCCCCACAGGAAGGCAACAAAGGAACAAGAACAGACCAUGAACUGGCAGACAGUAUGAGAAAAUGAGAGCACAAGGAGAUAAAUGACUUGCCUAACAGGGUCAGUUCUACUCUGCCCUUUAGGGUCACUAUGAGUUGGAAUCGACUCAACGGCAACAGGUUUGGUUUUUUUUUUGUUUGACAGGGUCCAAAGCAUUUUCUUUGUUUCAUUUAUUUUGUUUUGUGUCCCAAAUAGACUGUAAGUUCCCCCAAGGAAGCUCUUUUUGAAUAACCAUCACUUGUAAUAUCACUUACCUUUUUUGUGCCUUAGUUGUGUUAUCUGUAAGAUGCAGAUAAUAAGGGCUCCUAUCUCAUAAGGUCCUCAGGAGAACUAAAUGAAUUGUUACAUAAGAAUGUCUAGAAGGGUGUCUAGCACAGAUGAUGGCCUCAACAUGCAGCAGAUGAACACAAACCUCUGAAUACAUUUUUAGGCUGUUUCACAGAGUGUUUUGAGCAAAAAGUAGUCCUAAGAUGCCCAGCUUCUUGUUCCGGAAUCAGACUUGGGUAAAUAAAAAGCAAAUCCAUUGUUCUUUGAUAUGAGCAAUUUAAUCAAAUGAGCAUUUAUUGAACUUCUAUUUUCAUAUGUACAUUAAGCUUUGAAGUGAUAAAAUUGAUAGUGACUAUGUGAAUGAUGUUUUUCAGAAGAACAAGUAACAACGAACAUGGGGAAAAAAAAAGGACAAACCAACCCAGAACGCACCAACAUUCUACUCUCUGCAGGGCUCAUCACAACAAAACCAAACAGGGUUACCAUAUGCAAUUCGGGAAAUUGUGCCCUGCAAGAGGAAACCACAUCUAAGUGGGCGCUAUUCCCAUUAUAGACAUUGUAGGUUUGUAAAUCUGUUGUGUUAAUUUACCAGCAGAUGGCAGUAAGUGCCUUGUUAUUACAAAAUACGCUCAUAAUUUUCAAAGGGAAAUAAUGUACACUCUUUGUACUUUGCAUAAAGGCUUAGUUCGUAUGAGCAUGUGUAAAGCUGAUGAAUUUUCACAAAUUGAACAAACCUGUGCAACCAGCAUCUAAAUCAAGAAACAGAACAUUACCAAAAGCCAAACCAAACGCAUUGCUAUCAAUUCCAACUCAUAGCAACCGUACAGGACAGAUUAGAACUAUCCCACAGGGUUUCCAAGGAGUGGCUGGUGAACUGGAACUGCAGACCCUUUCAUUAGCAGCUGAACUCUUAACCACUGAGCCAUUACCAGGCCCCCAGAAAUCCCAUAGUUUCCCUUCCCCUCAUUACCACCCUGAGAGCAGCAUCCUGAAUCCAUAGAUUAGGUUUGCCAAGUUUUAAACUUUAUAUAUGUGUGUGUGUAUAUAUAUAUACACACACACACAUAUAUAUAAAUGGAUUCAUACAGAAUGCACUCUUUUUGGCUCCUUUGCUCAAUUUUAUGUUUUCGAGAUUCAUCUAUAUUUUUGCAUGUAGUUGUAGUGUGUUAUUUUCAUUGCUGCAUAGCAUUUCACUGUUUGAAUAUCCUAUAAUUUAUCCGUUCUACCACUGGUGGGCAUUUAGGUUUUUCCUUUAGGGCUAUUUUUAAUAGUACUAUUAUGAACAUUCUUUUUCUUUUUUUUUUUGAACAUUCUUGUACAUAUCUUUGGGUAAACAUAUGUACAAUGUUCUAUUGGUUAUAUACCUAGGACUGGGGUCAUAGAAUUGGCUUGUAUUCAGCUGUAGCUGCCAUACCCAUUGCCAUUAAGUGGAUUCCAACUCAUAGUGAUCCUAUAGGACAGGGUAGACCUGCCCCAUAGGUUUUCCUAGACUGUAAUCAUUACAAAAGCAGACCGCCACAACUUUCUCCCAUGAAACAACUGGUGGGUUCAAACAGCCGACCUUUUGGUUAGCGGCCAAGCAUUUUAACCACUACCCCACCAGGGUUUUAGCUGAUAAUGCCAAAUUCUGUGUAUUUUUUAAAGCAGCUUUAUUGAUAUAUAUAAUACACAUUUAAAGUAUACAAUUCACCCAUUUAAAGUACGCAAUUCAAAUAGUUUUAGUAUAUUCACAGAUAUAAGCAACCACCACCACAGUCAAUUUCAGAGCAUAUUUUCAUCACCUCAAAAAGAAACCUCAUACCCUUAACCAUCAGACCUCUCUUCUUCCACUACCCCAGCCCUAGCAACCACUAAUCUACUUUCUGUCUGUAUAGAUUUGCCUAUUCUGGAUAUUUCAUAUAAAUAGAAUCAUACAAUAUGUGGUCUUUUGGAUCAUGAUAAUUGGAUAAUUUAGCAUGUUUUCAAGGUUCAUCCAUGUUGUAGCAUUUCUUUAUAUAUAUGGUCAAAUAAUGUUUCAUGGUACAAGUAUACCACAUUUUGCAUUUUCAUUUCAGUUGGUGGACAUUUUGGGUUUUUCCACCUUUUGGCCAUUUUGUAUAAUCCUGUUAUGAACAGUUGUGCACAAGUUUAAUUUCUCUUGAGUAGACCUAGAAGUGUUAUUGGGUCACAUGGUAACUGUUGAAUCACUUGAGGAAUUGCCAGAUUAUUUUCCAAAGUGGCUGAACCAUUCUGCAUUCCCUCCAGCAUUGUAUGAGGGUUUCUAGUUCUCCACAUCCUUGCUAACACUUAUUAUUAUCUUUUUGAUUGUAGCCAUCCUACUGGAUAUAAAAUGGUAUCACCUUAUGGUUUCGAUUUGCAUUUCCCUGAUUACUAAUGAUGUUGAACAUCUUUUCUUGUGCUAUUGGCCAUUUGUAUAUCUUCUUUAGAAAAAUGUCUAUUUAGAUCCUUUACCUAUUUUUUUAGAUAAAAUCACAUAACCUAAAAUUCACCAUUUUAACAAUUUUGAAGUGUUUAAUUUAGUGGGUUUUAGUACAUUCACAAUGUUGUACAACCAGCAUCACCAUCUGUCUUAAGCUGGGUUCUCUAGAGAAGCAAAACCAGUAAGCAUAUAAAUAUAUAGAGAGAGAGAGAAGUCAUGUAGAGGCUGGAAUGUCCGAAGGCUGUGGAUCAGGAUAGAGACUUCUCCUGAUUCACAUAGCCACAGGGGCUGGCGAACCCAAGGUUGGCAGGUCAGAGAGCAGGACCCUUGUUCACAGGCUGUGAAGAUCACCAAAUCCCAAGAUUGGCACUAAGCUGCUAGCUCAAGUCCCAAGAACCGAAGGUCAGAUGAGCAAGAGGCAUCUGCAGGAUCCAGAACAAGCCAAAAGCCUUGGCAAGGAGAGUGUGAAGGAAGUAGGUGGCAGAGGGUGGAAAGAUGAAGGCUGAGGGGGCGGUGAACUGCCACAGGCCCCGCCCCCACCAUUAUCACUCAGCAGAUUCCAUCAUAAGGGUGAUCACAUAUCAAAUUUCAACAGGGAAGUGACCACAACGGUAUACAACUGCCAAAACACUAAAAAUCAUGGCCCAGCCAAGUUGACACACAAUCUUAGCCAUCACACCAUCUAAUUCCAGAACAUUCCAACCACCACAUUAAAAAAAACCCAUACCUGUAAGGAAUCUCAGUUCCCCAUUCCCUCCAUUCUUCUGGCAAUCUUUAAUCUACUUUGUCUUAUAGAUUUGCCUAUUCUGGGCAUUUCAUAUAAAUGGAAUCAUAUAGUAUGUGGCUUUUUGUGUCUUCUUUCAUAUAGCAUAAAUGUGUUCAAGGUUCAUCCAUGUUGUAGCAUGUAUCAGUACUUCAUUCAUUUUUAUGUCUGAAUGAUGUUCCAUUGUAUAGAUAUACCACACUUUGUUUAUCCAUUCAUCCAUUUAUAGACGUUUGGGAUGUUUCUACUUUUUGGCUACUGUAAACAGUGCUGCUAUAAACAUUCGUGUACAAGUUUUUGAUUGAACACCUGUUUUCAGUUCUUUUUGGUACAUAGGAAUGAAAUUGUUAGAUCAUAGUAGUUCUGUAUUUAACUUACUGAGGAAACACCAAAUUCUUUUCCACAGCAGCGGCACCAUUAUGUCUUACCACCAGCAAGGUAUGAGGGUUCCAAUUUCUUUACUUCUUCACCAAUACUUGCUAUUUUCUGAUUUUUGUUUUAUUUUUUUUAUAGCCAACCUACUGGGUGUGAAGUGGUAUCUUAUUGUGGCUUUGAUUUGUUAUUUCCCUAAUGACUAAUGAUGUUCAGUGUCUUAUAGACUAGUUGGCCAUUUGUAUGUCUUUUCUGGAGAAAUGUCUGUUUUCAUUUCCUAGGGCUGCCAUAACAAAAUACCACAAAUGGAUGGCUUUAGAGAACAGGAGGAAUUGAUUGACUCACAUUUCUGGAGGCUAGAAGUCCAAAUCAGGAUAUUGGAAGAGUCAGUUCCUUCUGAUGAAUCAGAGAACUGCUCCAUGUGUCUCUUCUGGCUUCUUCUAGUGGCUGCUGGCAAACUUUGGUGUUCCUUCGGUGCUCAUAGAUGUAUCUUUACAUGGAGAAACAUGCUCUUUGAGCCAUACAACCUGAUUUUGAUUCAUGGAUCUGUCACCUACCAGCUGGGUGACCUUGGGCAAAUUUUUUAUUUCUGAACCAUAAUUUCCUUAUCUAUAAAAUGGGGGAAUUAAUGCCAGCCUCAUAAGGAUGUUGUGCCUGCCUCACCAUCAUCUCUUCAGGAUGCUCUACUGAGGGUAUAGAGUCAGCCUCAGGCCCUUAGCCAAAUUCGGUGCCACCUGUUUUUGUAAAAUAAAGGUUUAUUGGAAUACAGUCAUGACUGCUUUCAUGCUACAACAGAAGAGUUGAGUAAUUGCUGCAAGGACCACACCAAAAAAACCAAACUCUUCGCCAUCAAGUCGACUCCGACUCCUAGCAACCCUAUAGGACAGAGUAGAACUGCCCCAUGAAGUUUCCUAGGAGCACAUGGUGGAUUCGAACUGCCAACCUUUUGGUUAGCAGACGUAGCUCUUGACCGCUACGCCACCAGGGUUUCCACAAGGACCACAUGGCCUACAAAAUCUGAAAUAUUUACUAUCUGGCACUUUGCAGAAAAAGUUUGAUUUCUGUUCUGUGUCACCAGCAUUCUUUCACCUACUGAAACAUGACAUAUUCCUUCUCUCUGUAGGACUUUUGUACAUGUUGUUCCCUUUGCCUAGAAUGCCAUUCCCACAUCUACAUCUAAUCCUCUCCUGUCAACCCUACUCAUUCUUAUCACAUCAAGGAGGCCUUUGCUUAUCCCACCCCACCCGUAG